UAUAGAUCUCUUUAGAAAUAUAUAUGUAUAUGUAAUAGAUAGAUAUAAUUUAAUUAUAAGAGAGAAUAUAAUGUUUAAAGAGUCCAUGAAGAAGACCAAGACUGGGUCCUUCAAUCUCAAUGGCCAAGCAGACAGCUUUUAAUAUUGUCUCACUGAAGAUUUAUCUCUGUUGCAACUGGCAGGAGAUUAACCAUAAAUGUGUGUCCCUCCAGUCUAAAACUGUGAAAUAAAGUUAAUAUAUCAGCAUCAACCAGCCCAACAUAAGCAAUAAUAAUACAUCAGAAAUCACCUCUGGAAGGCUGGCAUGCCUCUGUUACACUUGAGCCUGCUUCUUAUCAUCUUUCAUAACCCCAAACCCCAGCUAAGAUGAAUUCUUCUCCAGGGGCAGGUCAUUUUGGUGCCAAUUUGAUAAACCUGCAUCCAUUUAAUAUCAACUAGAAAUAUUAAUGCUUGCUUCAAAUAUCAUUCUAAAAUAUCACAGGCAGUACAUUACAUAAUUCAAUGUGCCAGUUAAAUAUACACUUUACUCUCAUCUGCUCACUUUAGCUGCCCAUUUUAUACAUUCGAGAAUUUUGCAAAACAGAGAUUUGAGCAACCUUGAAGGAUUAAUUUCCUUUUUGGAUUAGAAAAUAGAAAGGGAAGAGGGAGUUUCUGUGAUAUUUUCAUUCUGAACAAGGUCAAAUCACUUACAAAGGAACAGUAAGUAUUGUCAAAAUGUUUGUGGCAAAUUAAUGCUAUGGUUAAUGUUAAGCAGCCUGCCCUGUACUAUGAUACUCCAGCAUUACUGAAGACAUAUAUAACUUUUUGUUCAAAUGGCUCUGUACUGAGAUCACAUUCUUUUUUGCUCCCUACCAGGAAGCCAUCGGCUAGAACCAUAGCUGCUCAUCAGUCAUCAUUACUGAUCCCCUGAAGAACUAGAUCCCCCCCAAAAGGAAAAUCCCCUUGAAGAGGUAAAAUACUGUAGGUUCCUCCUCCUGAUUUUCUUCUUUUGGUCUCUGGAAAUUACACACUCUCUUUGUUGAUUCCAUAAAAUCUCAGUGUUAGAAAGGAUUGGUGAAGUCAUCUCAUUCUACCUGUACCUUAACAGUAAUACUUCCCAAGGUAAAUCUCUAGUAAGGGAAAAUCUACAACCUCCCAAGGCAGAAAAUUUCAUUUUUGUGUAGCUGUACAUGUAAGGAAGACUUUCCUUUCACUAAUACUAAAUUUGCUUCUUUGCAACUUUAACUCAUGCU
rnacentral:lncRNA from 1 species